GCUAAAAUUGCCCACUUUAUGACCUCUUUGGUCCAUGUAGGCUAUAUUUAUGGUUGCUUUCAUUAGUUCUCAGAUUGAAAGCAAGGAUCGUUCAUGUUUAUAAUAUUUAUGUGAACAACAAAGCACACAGACACUCACAUGAUGUCCAUUUAAUUAUCAGUUAAAAUGACGCAUAAAAUUACAAUUUAAAAGAGUAACUAUGAGGAACGGCACAUAAUGCAGAUCUCCGUUUUAAAGGCUUGAGCUUUGAUAUAUUUCCAAUACAGAAUGAUAAAAGACCACAAGACGAGUUGUUUGGAUUAUUAUAAUGUUAAGGGUUUUGUUUACUUCAGAAGCGAUUAUCCUUAAAAGUUAGUCGAUAGUUGAGUUUUCUUUCAGGUGCAGGAUUCAUAUAAAAGCAGAGGUCUGUAGAAUGUCCUCGUUUAGGCAGCGAGGCGUGUGUGUGUGUGCGUGCGUGCGUGUGAUCGCUGGGUGGAGCAGCAGUGUAAGGCAGGUCUCGUCUCUCAUUGCGGCGGCUGGAGAUCCAUCGAGCGGCGGCGGAACGUCGCUCCGGCGUCCGUGUGCGUGAAGAGCAGGUGGAGGAGGAUGAUGAUGAUGGAGGAAUCCGACAGCAUCCCCUGCACCGCGGAGGACGGACUCCUGUCGAGCUGGAGAUGGAACAGAACCGCCAGGGAUCAGGUCCAGAUCAAGCAGAAGAUCCGAGAUCUGCCCGGAUUGUUAAAGCACGGACUGAACCUGCGCAAAAAGAGCAGUUCAGCUCCCAGAUCUCCAGCAGCAGCCCACAGCAAAUCAAUACAGUAAAUCUUACACACACGCCGUCUUCAGAGCCCAGUCAAAACAAAGCCAACAAGCGUACGCGUGGCCCCUGGAGAGGUUUGUCUACAGAGAGACAAGCAGUCGCUGAUACCUGCAGGUCACGCCGGCCCACAGAAAGCACAGAUACUAUCAUCACAGGUGCUCUCAGGAAUUUCAAACAGUAUUCAAGCCGAAUGGACUGAUGAAUCCAUUGCUAUUGUUUUGAGUUCUUAGAUGAAAAACAUGAUAAUGUUGGUUGUUAGCCAUUUGUAUCUUCCUGACUUGAGUGUUUGUGAAACCCAAAAUGUUAAUUUGUAGUUGCUCUGUUAUAGAAACUGCUGAUUUGAACAAACUUCAAAUGCUAAGUGUAGAACGUACUGAUAGUUCACCCAAAAAUGAAAAUUUGCUGUUCACUGACUCACCCUCAGGCCAUCCAAGAUGUAGGUGAGUUUUUUUUUUUUUACUUUAUUAGAACAGUAAAGAGAUUUUUAACUGAAACCAUGAUCCUUGAAAAUCUGUGAUUCAUGAAAU
ensembl:lncRNA